GCGCUCCGUUCAGCUGCACAUAUAAUAAAAAUGGAACAACACAGAAGUCAACAUGACGCCCGUGCAAGGAUGGUGCACAAAUUCAUGAAACGUUUCCUAUGUUU